rnacentral:lncRNA from 1 species
CCGCUCUCCCCACCCGGUACCAGGACCCACCCGGGCCCGCGCUCCCUGCGGCUUCCAGGGACCCUCCAGCCCCCACGCACCCUCCUGCAAAGCCGAGGGUUAAGCUGGGGAAAGGGGGCCUCUAGGAAGGCGACCCCCCUGGAAAUGCCUGGCAGCUCCAAAAACACUAAUGAAACUCAGCUCCAGCCUCCGCCCCUCCAGUUGUGGGUGGCCCCUCUUGCGGUUCGUCUGAGGCUAGGGGACUAGGCGCAUCGCCUAGCGAGACUCCAGUGGCCUUUUCUGUCCAGUUUGUAACCGGAACUAGACCGACCCCGGCCGCCCCCUCCAGUGCUGGGGCGGGUGAGGAAUGGCCCCGCCGGGGAGGCGGGGGAGGGAGGCCUGGGCCACCCUGGGGUCUGACCUUUGCUCCACCUCUUAGGUGCUCACGACCCAGAGUGGUGCCCUGCUUGGUACUGCCACUGGAUCCUCUGGCUUAUGAAGCCGUCCAGGACAGGAAGGGUGGGGGGUGGUCCUUAGUUCUCUUCGUGGGGUCAUGCAGAGUGGUUUCCUCGAGGUCCCACGCCCGUCUCAGGAAGCCAGAAACGCAAGAUGCCGGGCGCUCGGCCCGAACCCGUGCCGCGGCCCAAGGGGCAAGGCGGAUACCGAGGCAAGGCCUAAAGGGCCGGACUCUGACCGCACCCUCCGGACACUGCAGGGCUCCGCCGGCCAGAGGCGGCCUUGGCGCCAACCACACCUAGCAGCGGGGUCCCCGGGCCCACCGAUGCGCCCUCCUAGCCCCGCGCUCCUUCGAGGGGUUCCAAGGUGACUCAGAGACGCAGCUGACACAAUUCUGAGGCCCCCAGGUAAGCCUGGCGAUACCGGAUGGAGAAGUUACCUGGUCUUGAAAGGCCCAGUCCAGCCAGCGAGACCCGCGUGCGCUCCGCGGGGAGGCAAGCCUAACCAGGGGCUCACCUGGAAGCGUCCCCGCCCCCUGGUCCUUAUCUCUGAAUCGAAACCGAACCUGGACCCAUCUAGAUAAUUGGACUGAGCAAUUAAGGACGCUUCGCUCCUAACUGUUAGCAUUUUUUCCUAAGGCUCUCGGAGGCGGAAUCAGCUGGAAAGGAACAUUGCUAAGUAGGAAUUUCAGGCACCUGUGAACUGAGCCCACUCAAUAAUCGGCCCUUUCCCUUAACCAAACUCAGCAAAGGAAGAAAGACCAAGUUGCUGCGGAUGCACAGAGCCACGUGGGUGCGGGUCCUCUAGAAACAGGAAUUCAGAGUCAGUAGAUAUGGAAAUGUUAUGGUUUGCAGUCUUCGGACCAUGCUGCUUUCAUGCUGUUCACAUGAUUCUCCUCGGACUGCGAGGUAAAGUCCAAGAAACAAGUCGAAUGUUUGUAUUUUCAUAGAAAAAACAUCUGUAAGGGUGCACACCGACUGUUAACCACGGUUACGCGGGGAGGGGAAACAAGGGAGUUACAUUUUUUUACUCCCUUGACUUUGGAUUUUGUAUUUUUCCAGUUGUAUUUACUUUCAUAAUUUAGAAAGCUAAUAAAACAUGUUUAAAGAAACAGAAGCUAGAAAUUCUCUAAGAACUCUAGGAAGUAGAGGCCGGGCGCGGUGGCUCACGCCUGUAAUCCCAGCACUUUGGGAGGCCGAGGCGGGUGGAUCACAAGGUCAGGAGUUCGAGACCUGUCUGGCCAACAUGGUGAAACCCUGUUUCUACUAAAAAUACAAAAAUUAAUGGUGACAUGUACCUGUAAUCCCAGCCACUUGGGAGGCUGAGGCAGGACAAUCGCCGAACUCAGGGAGGCGGAGGUUGCAGUAAGC